rnacentral:rRNA from 1 species
CCUACGGGUGGCAGCAGUAGGGAAUCUUCCACAAUGGGCGAAAGCCUGAUGGAGCAACGCCGCGUGGGUGAAGAAGGUCUUCGGAUCGUAAAACCCUGUUGUUAGAGAAGAAAGUGCGUGAGAGUAACUGUUCACGUUUCGACGGUAUCUAACCAGAAAGCCACGGCUAACUACGUGCCAGCAGCCGCGGUAAUACGUAGGUGGCAAGCGUUAUCCGGAUUUAUUGGGCGUAAAGGGAACGCAGGCGGUUUUUUAAGUCUGAUGGGAAAGCCUUCGGCUUAACCGGGGAAGUGCAUUGGAAACUGGGAGACUUGAGUACAGAAGAGGAGAGUGGAACUCCAUGUGUAGCGGUGAAAUGCGUAGAUAUAUGGAAGAACACCAGUGGCGAAAGCGGCUCUCUGGUCUGUAACUGACGCUGAGGUUCGAAAGCGUGGGUAGCAAACAGGAUUAGAUACCCGUGUAGUC